GUGAGGAAUAUUGCGCAAUGGAGGCAACUCUGACGCAGCCAUGCCGCGUGAAUGAUGAAGGUCUUAGGAUUGUAAAAUUCUUUCACCGGGGACGAUAAUGACGGUACCCGGAGAAGAAGCUCCGGCUAACUUCGUGCCAGCAGCCGCGGUAAUACGAAGGGGGCUAGCGUUGCUCGGAAUUACUGGGCGUAAAGGGCGCGUAGGCGGACAGUUUAGUCAGAGGUGAAAGCCCAGGGCUCAACCUUGGAAUUGCCUUUGAUACUGGCUGUCUUGAGUACGGGAGAGGUGAGUGGAACUCCGAGUGUAGAGGUGAAAUUCGUAGAUAUUCGGAAGAACACCAGUGGCGAAGGCGACUCACUGGCCCGUUACUGACGCUGAGGCGCGAAAGCGUGGGGAGCAAACAGGAUUAGAAACCCGGGUAGUCC
rnacentral:rRNA from 1 species